rnacentral:rRNA from 1 species
CCGCGUGAGGGAAGAAGGCCUUCGGGUUGUAAACCUCUUUUCUUGGGGAAGAAUUUUGACGGUACCCAAGGAAUAAGCCUCGGCCAACUACGUGCCAGCAGCCGCGGUAAUACGUAGGAGGCGAACGUUAUUCGGAUUUACUGGGCGUAAAGGGAGCGUAGGCGGUUCCUCAAGUCGGAUGUGAAAUCUUCUGGCUCAAUCGGAAGGGGCCAUUUGAUACUGAGGGACUUGAGAGCAGCAGAGGGAAAUGGAAUCCCCGGUGUAGCGGUGAAAUGCGUAGAUAUCGGGGAGAACACCAGUGGCGAAGGCGAUUUCCCAGGCUGUUUCUGACGCUGAGGCUCGAAAGCGUGGGGGAGCGAACCGGAUUAGAUACCCGCGUAGUCCACGCCCUAAACGGUGGGACACUAGAUAU